UACGGAGGGUGCAAGCGUUGCUCGGAAUCACUGGGCGUAAAGCGACCGCAGGCGGCCUGACAAGUCGGAUGUGAAAGCCCCGGGCUCAACCUGGGAAUGGCAUUGGAAACUGGCGAGCUAGAGUGUGGCAGAGGGGGGUGGAAUUCCGCGUGUAGCAGUGAAAUGCGUAGAGAUGCGGAGGAACACCGAUGGCGAAGGCAGCCCCCUGGGCUGACACUGACGCUCAGGCACGAAAGCGUGGGGAGCAAACAGG
rnacentral:rRNA from 1 species